rnacentral:lncRNA from 10 species
GCUGGCUUCACUCAGUGGAUCCGGCACCUGGCCGCAGGUGGAGCUGCCUGCCAGUCCCGCGCCGUGAGCCCGCACUCCUCAGCCCUUGGGUGGUCGAUGGGACUGGGCGCUGUCGAGCAGGGGACGCCGCUCGUCGGGGAGGCUCGGCCGCACAGGAGCCCACGGAGGCGGAGGGGAGGCGCAGGCAUGGUGGGCUGCAGGUCCCGAGCCCUGCCCCGCGGGAAGGCAGCUAAGGCUCGGCGAGAAAUUGAGCACAGCAGCUGCUGGCCCAGGUGCUAAGCCCCUCACCGCCCGGGGCCGGCGGGGCCUGCCGGCAGCUCCGAGUGCAGGGCCCGCCGAGCCCACGCCCACCCGGAACUCGCGCUGGCCCGCAAGCACCGCGCGCAGCCCCGGUUCCCGCCCGCGCCUCUCCCUCCACACCUCCCCGCAAGCUGAGGGAGCCGGCUCCGGCCUUGGCCAGCCCAGAAAGGGGCUACCACAGUGCAGUGGCGGGCUGAAGGGCUCCUGAAGUGCCGCCAAAGUGGGAGCCCAGGCAAAGGAGGCGCCAAGAGCGAGCGAGGGCUGUGAGGACUGCUAGCACGCUGUCACCUCUCAAUAUGGUCCAACCAAGGUCAACUAGUUGAUUGCAGCCCGAUUUCACAGCCAGCCCCACCUCACACGGGGAGUGCCCCUCCGACUCACUUGCCUCAGUUCUGGAGAAGACGCACAGAUUCCAAGAGCAAUUGGAAUUUAUACUUCUUCAUCCUCCUUUGACGUUCUAUUUGGGCCGAUUCCUUUCGUCUAGGGUCAGGAAGCUCAUCCAUCAGGACUCACACAGUUUGUAAGGAGACGUUGGGUUCAUUUCCAUUUUUAGGGUGUACAUUGCAAAGCCCACUAUGACUGAAGAUCUUACUGGACACCACAUAGCAACUGCUGCCGCACAGUCAGGAAUGUGCCUUUUUCCCAAGGCCAAAACGUUGUGACCUCUCAUCAUGCACAAAUUAUAGCUGACCUGAUAUUGGGUAUGUCUGAGGUGUACAGAGUCUCUAAUUCUAUUCAGAACAUAGCACCUGUCAGCAAUCAACAGAAUCAAAUGGUCCUGGGGUGAAUGUUCACUUCCUCCUUUUUUUUUCCUUUGCCAAAACAUAACUAUGGGUUGAGGGGACGCAUCACAGAUGAGAAACAAUGAGCCUGGUCUUCCCAGUGUAAACCCAAGCAAGGGCUGGCACAGUGGGUCAGUCCCCCGAGGCAAAGCCAGUAGAAACCAGACUGUUGACAACUGCCUUACAACACUUUGUGCAAUCCCAUGAAGAGAAGAGUAACAUAAACUAAAUGCCUGGACAGUUUUUCUUUGUAAAAUUUCAACAGGAAAACUCAACUUGUAGGUUUUCUAGAGACAUACCUAUACUCUAUAUUGAAUGGUAUAUUUUAGCUUACAGGGGAGGCUUCCGGUUGAUAACAACCAUUUUCAUUUGUUGCAGGAUCUGAAAUACAACCAUGUGAAAAAAUUCCUAUAAGGUUUUACAUAUUACCCAGCACAGAGCAAGAGCCAGAUAAAUGGUAGCAAAAUUGCCAUCAUGUAAUCUUGUGAAAAACAUUGAUUCUUCAUAUCUGCAACUUUAAUUAGAGUUUUGAAUUAAGUGAAAAUUCUGAAAGCACUAGAAAGUCAAAUUUAGAAUGCUCCUUUCAGCAGCAGAAAUGGGGUAAAUAAGAACAGGGACACUAGGGGAACCACCUUAUUACAAGCCAUUUCAAUUUGACAUUUUGCUGUAUUUGAAGAAUGUUUGUGGGCAUUGACACCUACACAUUAGAUAUUUGAUGUGCAACUGGUGCCCUCUAGUGACAGGGUGAACAGUCUUCAGUCACUAAAGCUAAAGAAAUCCAAUCUUCCUAACUUAACCAACCCCAGAUUUACGAGAAGGGAAGAGAAAGGGGAGAAGGUAGGAGGCCAGAAGGUGUCUGUCUCACUGUAAUUCAGAAGGCAAAUCUAAGCAGGCAUCCUUUGGUCUCUAAGAUAAGGGUUCUCAAAUGCUUUUGAAGUUUCACUUUUCUUUUGGAGAAAGGACACUUUCUACCUUGUAUCUCUCAGAACUUCCCUAGAAUGGGAGCUGAGUUUUUAAAGGCCACCUCAGGUAAUACAGCUAUACUCCAAAAUUCACACAAUUCCUCUGCCCUCUGGAAAACCAUGGAAUAAUGAGGCAGUGGAUUUUGGUUCCAUGGGGAAUCCUGGAACCCAUCUCCCACAAAUACUAAGGGAUGACUGUAAACAUAUGUAUACAGUGUGGCAGAUACAAUAUGAUAGAUUCCUGCAGGAACCAUGGAAACACAAUCCAGUUCAUUUCUCUGAUCUCACAUUGAAUGUAUCUCUCCUUUCCACCAUGAUUUCAUGCACAUUUUCACUGGCAUAUGGCAUAAACUGAUUUUUUUUAACUAAUGGAAGCCUAUUCAGGGAUCAAUUAUUACCUCAUGGAAAUAUUUGUCAACCAUUCCUUACUUUCCUACUUAGAAGCAGGGGGAAAGUGUGUUUUUAACUACUAGGUAAUUUAAUCAUUUUUUCCCCUCUCACCUCCUAUAUAUCUACUGGGGCCAAGUCAGCUGAAAAAAUAAAAUCAUAUAAGCAAACUGCCACUUCAUCAUCUUGUCUCAGAAACUCCUGCUGGCAGCAUACAUUUUAUAUACCCCAAAUGGGGUGUUCUGAAACAGACAGGCGAAUUCCAGCUUCCCCUAAUUUACUGCCCUCCUUUCCAUAGCAUCAGAUUCAUAAAACAUUGCCUGGGUGGCUGGCUGGCUGUCUCACUGUCUUGAGGCUGAAGCAAGGCACAGGGGACCAGGAAGGAGACAUUAGUUGCCAAGUCUCUGCUGACAAGAAUACUUGCCUCCGCCCUUUUAGAGCAUUUAACAUAAGCAAAAGAAACAGGGGAAAAAGACUUGGCUUGCCAGCAAACCAUUACACAAAUCUAAAGAUGUGGUAUUAAGUUUUGUUCCUGUAAGUGUUCUUUCCAUGACUAGCCCUAUUAAUUGGUGCUUCAGCUUCAAAACUAUUUCAGUUUUUAUGUCACAGAAGAGACUUGAGAAUCCAAUUAGCUACGUUUAUUAGAAACACUUGAACAUUUUUCUACACAUUGUUUUCAUGUUAAAUAACAUAGUGAUAAGGGGAAAAGUUAGAGGAAGUUUGAAGCGAUUGCAUUAGGCUUUAAUUUUCCACCAAGUGUUUGCAUGUAUCCUGGACAAACCAACUCUGCAAAUGCAAAAGGAAACUGGUUUUUUCACUCUUUGGGAGAAAGCACAAAUGAAACAGCCCAAUUAUAGGGAAAUAACAAAGAACGGUGGGUAACCUACUUGACAGACAACUUAAUUUAACUCUAUUUUCAAUAUCUAGAAUACACAUUAAGUAGCCUCCCAUUCAAUCCCAGCCCUUGAGGCCAUGCCACCUACAACCAUCAAAAUGCUCAUAUGUUAAAGCUCCCUGGGGACUUAACGGGUAUUAAUAGGUUUAUACAGUCUGUUAUUUUCCUAAGGUCACAACUGGGAGCCCAAAGUGAAUCCCAACCCCCUGUCCUAUCUUCUUUGGUCAGGGUUUUAAGAAUUGGGCAAUUUUACCUAAAAACCCAGAUAUCUGAAUUCUCUGGGGAAAAAUCAAGUGAUCUGGCCAUACCCAAGUCCUCCAUCCCACAUGGCAACAGUUGGCUGAAACGGAGCAUGCCUGUCCCCUGUAGAUGGGAUAUGCCUAUUUAGAGAAGUCCGUGUCUUCCUGCUCACUCACUUCUAUUGCUUGCCUGACCCCUACAGGCCUUUGACUUUUCCACGGUGGUUUACAAAGGGCUUCUAUGUAUGGUGGUAAUUAGUUUCUAAUGGUUAUAAGAUAAAUAGCAAGUUCAGUCUGCUCUGCUACAGCUCAUGUUUCUGUAACAAUUAGCUUAAAUAAAAUUGGUAAAUGAGUGAAUGUUGUUUGUAUAACCUAGAAGUCUUUUUGGUUCGUGUAACUAAGUAGCAGCACCUAAAUGCAAAAUCACAAACACUCAAUGGCCAUCAGCCCAUGUUCUUCUUUCUGGCUUAUAUGAGCCUCCAGUUUUGUCUGGAAGUGCUCAUUGCACAGUUCUCCCUGAUCCUUCUGUAUUUUGCUCUUUCUGCAUAGCUCAGCAUGCUCAGUCCUUUGUCACUGCCUUCCCUGUCCAUCAGUCUACCUUCACCUUUUUUUGUUCAUUAAGGCAAAGGCCUCUUAUUUUGGUGUAUUUAUUAGAAACAUAAAAUGUAAAAUUUGUGCUAAUAUUCUAAUUGAGGUCAUUACCAGUUUUGUUAGUGCCUGGUUUCAAAGUUAUAUACGUUUUUAUUGAUCUGUCCCUAAUCCCAUCUUUUCCCAAAACUUCUGUUACCUCUAGCACAAAAUUCUACCGGAAGCAGGGGUUUUCAGAAAUAUGUCUGUCAAAUUAUAAUAUGUUCGAAAGUACUACUGAAAAACUAAGACCUUCACUCCAUAAGAAGGACCUGGAGUAGAGGUUGGCAUGUCUCAUGGUAAGCCCAAAAGUUAAUUCUCCAGCAUUAAAACAGGCAAUUGUAAGCAGCUGGCUAGCAUUUAGGGGCUACGUUUCAUGAAAAAUCGGUUUUUAAACAUCACAAGCAUACUCAGUGUGGGGAGAUGUUCAUAAUAAAUAGACUCACAGGAACUAAGUAUAUAUAUAUUGCUUCAUUUAUUUCUAACAACAUUCUUGUGCCUGUGGUAUCAACACUUCUGUUUUACUGAUGAAGAAUCUGAGGCUGAAAGGGAUGAAACACUUGCUUGGAAUUUCAUUCCUGUGUGGUGAGCACAAGUUUCAAAUCCAAGGUUUCUAAACCUCUAGCUCUUCCAUCCUUCAGUAGUUUCCUGUCAGAAGUGGAGCAGGUCUAUUGGGCUCUCUUCUUAGAUCAAUUUCAACCCCUUUCUACAAUAUUAUGCGAUUCAAAGUCCUUUAAAGUCAGACUUACAUGUGGUAUUUUUUAAGUGUUUUUAUUUAAAAAAUUAAAACAUUUAUUAACACUUACACUGCAUAGUACACGAAGAAUAUGGCCUAUGGGGUCAAACAGACUUGAGUUCCUUUAUUUAAAAAUAUUAAUUUUUAAUUUAUUAAUAUUUAUCAUUGUGCGAGGCAUUGAGGUGUAGUGGUAGACAUGACCACAUGGUGCUGGUGCUCAGCGGGCUUAUAUUCUAGUGGUACAAUCUUUUGUUAAAUGUGUGAAACAAAAAUACUAUUACCUAUUUUAAAGGACUACAAAAACAAAUUUGGAACUACAUAUGUGGUAAGGCGUCACACAUAGAAACCAUUUGACUGUUAGCAGUUGUUAUUGAAUUGAUACAAUAAUACUAAUUACACAGAAGCAGAAGAGGCAAGGAGAUUUUAGGAUAAGUAGCUGCUCCAGCACAAAAGCCACCAUUAGCAGUCAACAAUUAUUCAUGCACCUGUGACUCCCUCGUCCCCAGUGAAAGCCUCAGAGCUGUGCAGGUAUACAGGCUGAGGUGUGACCUGGCUGUAUAUAAAAGCUAAUUCCUCUACAGUCCCACUUGUUCUGACACAUUACAUUGUAAAUGAACUUACUUGGAAUGUAACAGAUUUCUACAAAUAACUAUUCAUUUCAAAAGUUCUGUUAAAUCAUAAACCCUAUACCUCCCGCUCCCCCAGCCCCUGGUAUGCUUAAAGGCCCAACAGCCACCCUUUAAAAAACUAAGAAAGUUUCACUUCUAGCAAGGACCAACUAGGUUUUUUUGAUCCAACUGUCCCACCAGAAACAAAUGAAAAAGCCAGAUCAAUAUCAUAUAAAAAAGUCUGUUUAAAAUCAUCAAAAAGCUACCAAAUAAAUGAGAAUUUGUGGGACCAAUGUCCAGGAGGAGAGAGACAAUGAAGGGCGUAAGCCUGGCACCAUUUUGCCCCCUAGGAAUAUUGUGAGAUAUGAAAACAGUGGCUGAGAUGGUAAGGAAUUGAGAAUAGAUUUUGACAGAUUCAUAGGACUAUGGAGAUAGAAACUAGAGUGCAGGGCCUGCCCCAGGUUUCAGGGUUUCAGGUACAAACCAAGAGUAAGAGUACACCAAAAACAGAGUAGUCCAGUCCUCAAAAAGACUAAAAACACCUUAAAUUAUUUUGAUGUCUAAUGAGAUUAAACUGAUAUACCCCUAACCUAGUUGAUUGCCAGAGGCAAAAACGCAUGCUCACUGAAGAAAGAUAAUGUCAGAGCCUCAAAUUACCUCAACAGCUGGUCAUAUACAGUGUCUGGCCCUCAAUAAAAAAUAACCAGUCCAGCCUGGGCAACAUAGGGAGACCCUGUCUCUACAAAAACAUUUAAAAAAAUUAGCUGGCAUGGUAGUAUGCAUCUGGAGUCCUAGCUACUCAGGAGGCUGAGGCGGGAGGAUCGCUUGGGCCCAGGAGUUUUAGGCUGCAGUGAGCUACGAUUGUGCCACUGCAUUCUAGCCUGGGUGGGCAAUAGAGUGAGAUCCUGUCUCUAAAAACGAACAAGAAACCCCAAAAUCCUCAGCCAUUACCAUUACAGGAAGACAAGUUUUUGCCAGAAACCAAGAGAUGAGAACAAGUAAUAGAAACUGGGCCACAGGAGAUUCAGAAGAUACAGUUAUCAAACAUGGGCUUUACAAUAACUAGAAUUAAUAUUUUCAAGGAAUUAAGAAACAAAAAUGGAGAAUUUCAUCAAAGUGUGGAAACUAUUAAAAAAUCCAAUGGAAAUAAAUUCUAGAACUGAAAAAUAGACCAAGAACUCAACAGAUGAGUUUAAUAGGAAAGUAGACACAGGUGAAGCAAGAACUUGUGAAGCAGAGGAGAAACCGAAAGAAAAUAGACUGAAGUUCAGAAUCAAAAGGAUCGAAACAGAAAAGAGGCAUAUGGGAAAAGGGAAAAUGUCUAGCAUAUGUAUAAUUACAGUCUCAAAAGAGAGGUGAUACAGAAUUUGGCAGUUGAACAUUCUAAUCAUGUCACAGCACUACUGAUGAAAUCCAAAGGCAUAGACAGAAAACCUGAAAAGCAGGAGAGAAAAAGGGUGUAUCACCUUCAAAGCAACAGUAAGACUGAUCAUUGGUUCAUGAAGAGAAACAACAGAAGACAGAUAUUGAUAGGUGGCCAGGCGCGGUGGCUCGCGCCUGUAAUCUCAGAACUUUGGGAGGCCAAGGCGGGCAGAUCACUUGAGGUCAGGAGUUCAAGAUCAGCUUGGCCAACAUG